AACCGGAGCUAAUACCGGAUAAUAUAUUGAACCGCAUGGUUCAAUAGUGAAAGACGGUUUUGCUGUCACUUAUAGAUGGAUCCGCGCCGCAUUAGCUAGUUGGUAAGGUAACGGCUUACCAAGGCAACGAUGCGUAGCCGACCUGAGAGGGUGAUCGGCCACACUGGAACUGUGACACGGUCCAG
rnacentral:rRNA from 1 species